rnacentral:rRNA from 1 species
ACCCGCUGAACUUAAGCAUAUCAAUAAGCGGAGGAAAAGAAACCAACAGGGAUUGCCCUAGUAACGGCGAGUGAAGCGGCAACAGCUCAAAUUUGAAAUCUGGCCCUCGGGUCCGAGUUGUAAUUUGUAGAGGAUGCUUUUGGUGAAGUGCCUUCCGAGUUCCUUGGAACAGGACGCCUUAGAGGGUGAGAGCCCCGUACGGUUGGACACUAAGCCUCUGUAAAGCUCCUUCGACGAGUCGAGUAGUUUGGGAAUGCUGCUCUAAAUGGGAGGUAAAUUUCUUCUAAAGCUAAAUACCGGCCAGAGACCGAUAGCGCACAAGUAGAGUGAUCGAAAGAUGAAAAGUACUUUGAAAAGAGGGUUAAAUAGCACGUGAAAUUGUUGAAAGGGAAGCGUUUAUGACCAGACCUUUGUCUAGCGGAUCAUCCGGUGUUCUUCACCGGUGCACUUCGCUAGGCUUAGGCCAGCAUCGAUUUCUGUAGGGGGAUAAAGACCAUGGGAACGUAGCUCUCUCCGGGGAGUGUUAUAGCCCUAGGUGUAAUACCUUUACGGGGAUCGAGGUUCGCGCUUCUGCAAGGAUGCUGGCGUAAUGGUCAUCAACGACCCGUCUUGAAACACGGACC